rnacentral:rRNA from 1 species
UCAAUCUCGUGCGGCUAGAAGCCGCCUGUCCCUCUAAGAAGAAUUAAUUGUACGCCGACAGUAAAAACCGCGCGCGACCGCGACGCGAACGCCGGGCCGGCGGGCCUUUCAGAUGUCGAAAAUACGCCUAGUUAGCAGGCUAGAGUCUCGUUCGUUAU